rnacentral:rRNA from 1 species
AGAGCGAACGCUGGCGGCAGGCCUAAUACAUGCAAGUCGAACGGCUCUUCGGAGCAGUGGCGGACGGGUGAGUAACGCGUGGGAAUGUGCCCUUUGGUACGGAACAACUGAGGGAAACUUCAGCUAAUACCGUAUGUGCCCUUCGGGGGAAAGAUUUAUUGCCAUUGGAGCAGCCCGCGUUGGAUUAGCUAGUUGGUGGGGUAAAGGCCCACCAAGGCGACGAUCCAUAGCUGGUCUGAGAGGAUGAUCAGCCACACUGGGACUGAGACACGGCCCAGACUCCUACGGGAGGCAGCAGUAGGGAAUCUUGCGCAAUGGGCGAAAGCCUGACGCAGCCAUGCCGCGUGAAUGAUGAAGGUCUUAGGAUUGUAAAAUUCUUUCACCGGGAAGAUAAUGACGGUACCGGAGAAGAAGCCCGCUAACUCGUGCCAGCAGCCGC